AAGCCAUGAUGAGGACAUUUUCUUAGGAGGUCCUUGAAUCUUUCAUAUGCCUCAAAGAGUGUUUUAGAAUCUCCCAGCCUGAAGGCCGAAAUUUCUUACCUCAGUCU